rnacentral:rRNA from 1 species
UACGUAGGGUGCGAGCGUUAAUCGGAAUUACUGGGCGUAAAGCGUGCGCAGGCGGUUUUGUAAGACCAAUGUGAAAUCCCCGGGCUUAACCUGGGAACUGCAUAGGUGACUGCAAGGCUAGAGUACGGCAGAGGGGGGUAGAAUUCCACGUGUAGCAGUGAAAUGCGUAGAUAUGUGGAGGAAUACCGAUGGCGAAGGCAGCCCCUGGGUCGAUACUGACGCUCAUGCACGAAAGCGUGGGGAGCAAACAGGAUUAGAAACCCCGGUAGU